UACGGAGGGAGCUAGCGUUGUUCGGAAUUACUGGGCGUAAAGCGCACGUAGGCGGCUUCUCAAGUCAGGGGUGAAAUCCUGGAGCUCAACUCCAGAACUGUCCUUGAUACUGAGGGGCUCGAGUCCGGGAGAGGUGAGUGGAACUGCGAGUGUAGAGGUGAAAUUCGUAGAUAUUCGCAGGAACACCAGUGGCGAAGGCGGCUUACUGGUCCGAUACUGACGCUGAGGUGCGAAAGCGUGGGGAGCAAACAGGG
rnacentral:rRNA from 1 species